AGGACGGAAUGUUCUUUACUUGAGCUGUCCAAUGUGGCAACUACAAGCCACAGCCAUGUGUGUACAAGGAUACUUGAAAUGUGAUAGUGUGACUCAGGAAUUGACUUCAUAAUUUUAUUUCAUCUUAAUUAAUUUAAGUGUGAAUUUUAAAAGCCACAUGUAGCGAGUGGCUACCAUGUUGGACAGUACAGCUCUAGAACGCAGAACCCUGCUAGAUGCAUCUCGAAAUAUCACCGAGGCCAGUAACCAGCGGGCCCGGUUUGCCUCAGCUCUCGGCGUGAAGGUCUCGCAGAUGUCAGCUGCCUGGACAUCCACAUGAAGCAGGCUGCCCCUCGGGAAAGAGAACACAUGGGUUCAGAGAGCUGAGAGACCAAGGCCCGGAGAGGUGACCAGUACUGUCCUUGGCCUCUUUGCCCAGGACACUGACCCACUGAGCCCACAGAUGGGGCAGGAACACGUGUGCAAGCGAGAAGAACAAGAGCCAUCUGGCCGAGCUCCUGCGAGCUAUGAGGCCUGAAAUGACAGCACCGAGGUCUGGAAAUCACCUCACCCAGUCUCCUAAUUGCACAGAUGAGGAAUCCACCGGCCUUGCCAAAGAUUACAAAGCUGAUGGAAAAUUAAGAACACUUCCAAUUCAAAGUUCGAAGCACAAAAUCCAGGAGUGGCGUCUGACAAGGCUCAUCACCUGCUCCACCUCUUCUCAUCUGGCUUCCAGGAGACGACACUGGUGGUUUUCCUCCUUCCUCAGCGGUUGCUCCUCUGCAGCCAGCUUUGCUGACUCCUUGCUUCCCUCCCAG
rnacentral:lncRNA from 1 species